rnacentral:tRNA from 1 species
CAAAGGGUAGUUUAAAUAAAACAUUAGUUUUGGAUAUUAAAUAUAAGAUUAUUUCUUUUCUUUGA